rnacentral:misc_RNA from 1 species
UCUAAGGAGCCGUUGACCGCCGUGUGGUGGUCGCCCCCGCCCUAGUGCCCGUCCGUGGUGCUGGUGGGGUGAGCUCAUGGGUGGAAUAUCAACGAGCAAGUGGCCGCACUCCUCCUGUGCUUCCCGGGUUCCGAUCCGGCGGGUGUGGGGGUUGCCGGCCGGGUCGGGUCCUAGUACCUGUCCCAUCGUGGUGGACCCUGUGGGGUUCGUCCGGUGUGGGUGGUGGAAGAGAACCGGUCCGGUGGUGGGUGUGGUCCGUGGCGCACUAUUGGGUCGCUGAGACAACAGGCCCCGUCCCCUUUGGUGGGGGUGGGGG